CCUACGUGAGGCUGCAGUGGGGAAUAUUGGACAAUGGGCGAAAGCCUGAUCCAGCCAUGCCGCGUGUGUGAAGAAGGCCUUCGGGUUGUAAAGCACUUUCAGUGGGGAAGAAAGCCUUGGGGCUAAUACCCUCGAGGAAGGACAUCACCCACAGAAGAAGCACCGGCUAACUCCGUGCCAGCAGCCGCGGUAAUACGGAGGGUGCGAGCGUUAAUCGGAAUUACUGGGCGUAAAGCGCGCGUAGGCGGUCUGAUAAGCCGGUUGUGAAAGCCCCGGGCCCAACCUGGGAACGGCAUCCGGAACUGUCAGGCUAGAGUGCAGGAGAGGAAGGUAGAAUUCCCGGUGUAGCGGUGAAAUGCGUAGAGAUCGGGAGGAAUACCAGUGGCGAAGGCGGCCUUCUGGACUGACACUGACGCUGAGGUGCGAAAGCGUGGGUAGCAAACAGGAUUAGAUACCCUUGUAGUC
rnacentral:rRNA from 1 species